AUCCUCUCUUAACUUUCUCUGACUACCUCCAAUCUCUCAUCCUUCUCCUCAAACUGUGUUUCAAGGCAAAUUUCUCAGAGAUUGAGACAGUUUCAAUAUCUGAGCAAGCAAUCUUAAUCUCAAGUGUUUUGUGUAUAUUUAAGUGAUCCUAAAGCCUCCACUGUUUCACUGAUGUGUAAUUAUCUGAGAAAUUGAAAAGAAAUGUAAAGAAAAGAAAAUGGAAAUUCUAUUUCUGUUUUUACUUAGAAUGGUCAGAACACAGCAGGUAUCCAAGGAAAUGCUGAGUGGCCAACCUGAACAGUCUUUCAUAGAAAAUGUGGCCUUAGUAUAUUAGUACUUCUUUUAAGAAAUAUGAUGGAAUAUCUUUGGCCACAGACAUUUAAUGUUUCCUUUGGUCUUUUCACCUAAAGUCAAACCAGUUGCUAUGGGGGUAGCUGCAUGUUUGCUGAAGCAGGAGGAAUGUCUCUGCAAGCAAGUUCUACUUUUCAGAUACUACAAUAUGAAAUAAAAGAGGGUGUCUCUUAACUUUCAAGAUAGUCCCCAGAUUUCACUUAUCAAAACAGUCUUUUUGAAGAGAUUUCUAGAUUUCUUCAUAUGAACAUCAAAUAAUUAGCUACCAUUAGCCCACACUCCCCCAUUUGAUAUAUGUGAAGUUAAAUGGAAAAUCUGCCCACUAGAGAUAGGCAGGUGCUAUAUAAACACAUCUGUAGGUCUUUUAGAAAUUACUAUCAUCACUCUUUUCAUUAAAGUGACAUGCAUAUAUUUAGAAACGCUUUUCAAAAACCUAAUGAAAGACUGUCCUUGAUAACUUCUCUAUAUGUUCAUCUAUAAAUCAUUAUUAAAAUCCUUUACAUAAUGAGGUGCACAUUCUUGGGGAGGAAAAAAAAAGGAAGUUUCAAUUCUCC
rnacentral:lncRNA from 1 species